rnacentral:rRNA from 1 species
CAUGCAAGUCGAGCGAGAAAAGGGGGGCAACUCCCUGAGUAAAGCGGCGCACGGGUGAGUAACACGUGGGUAAUCUGCCCUGGAGUGGGGAAUAACACCGGGAAACCGGUGCUAAUACCGCAUACGAUAGCGAGGUCUGCGGACUUUGUUAUGAAAGGAGCAAUUCGCUCUAGGAGGAGCCCGCGGCUGAUUAGCUAGUUGGUGAGGUAAUGGCUCACCAAGGCUACGAUCAGUAUCCGGUCUGAGAGGACGGUCGGACACACUGGAACUGAGACACGGUCCAGACUCCUACGGGAGGCAGCAGUGGGGAAUUUUUGGCAAUGGGGGCAACCCUGACCAAGCAACGCCGCGUGGGUGAUGAAGUCUCUUGGGACGUAAAACCCUUUCGACGGGGAAGAAACCGCAAGGUUGACGGUACCCGUAGAAGAAGCCCCGGCUAACUCCGUGCCAGCAGCCGCGGUAAUACGGGGGGGGCAAGCGUUGUUCGGAAUUACUGGGCGUAAAGGGCGCGUAGGCGGUGCUCUAAGUCGGAUGUGAAAACUCUGGGCUCAACCCAGAGCCUGCAUCCGAAACUGGAGUGCUAGAGUUCUGGAGGGGGUAGCGGAAUUCCUGGUGUAGCGGUGAAAUGCGUAGAUAUCAGGAGGAACACCGGUGGCGAAGGCGGCUACCUGGACAGAAACUGACGCUGAGGCGCGAAAGCUAGGGGAGCAAACAGGAUUAGAUACCCUGGUAGUCCUAGCCCUAAACGAUGGAUACUUGGUGUGACGGGGAUUGAAUCCCGUCGUGCCGAAGCUAACGCAUUAAGUAU